GGGGAUAUAGCUCAGCUGGGAGAGCGCUUGACUGGCAGUCAAGAGGCCAGGGGUUCAAGUCCCCUUAUCUCCACCA
rnacentral:tRNA from 1 species